rnacentral:other from 1 species
AUACCCCUGCCGUGUUCGUUAUUGGAAGAUGAUCUUUGUCCCAACAUAUAAUACUCAGGGGCCUUUACUGAUUUUGGUGAGCAAGUUCUGCUUGUACAGAAAAGCCUAAAAAAAUCACAGGGAUUCCCCAAAUUCCGCGUUUGGCUCAAAGGCCUUACAAAACGGCAUAGUGGCGGGGGUUUU